rnacentral:misc_RNA from 1 species
GAAGGCUGAGCACGCCAGCGUCCGCUGCGCCUGCGCCUCUCACCACCGAGGAGGAGGACCUCUGCCAUGAGGCCGCCGCGGAGCGGGGAGACCACAGCGACUCGUCAGGCUCCGCUGUGAUUGGCGAAGGCCCGCGAGCGCCGAUCCACUCAAUACGGACUGGGCUCCGCUGCACAAGGACGAGGCCCAUCCAGCUGCGGCAGCCGCCCUCGCGCCGCCUCGAGCACGGUGCCUCCAGAGGCAACUGUCAAGGGCAUCGGCUGCCCGUGCGCAUGGCCGAUGAGCAGCACCCCCAGGCGCCAUAACAAUGAAUGGCCCGCUGCCUCGGCGGCGCACCGCCAUGCACAAUGUUUCUCAGCCAGUCGCGUUGCCGGUGCUGCCAUGGCCGCUUCCAUGGCAGUGAGGUGGGCACCUUUGGCAAAGGCCCAGAGGCGGGCUACCUGUGCCAUCCGGACGGCAGCGCGCGCGCAGGCCGGCAAGCCGCUCUUGCAGCCCAGUGAAGAGGGCGGGGGCGCGCAAGUUCGCGAUCGCGCGGUCGAGGUUAUCGCAUGACUGGAAGUCUCGGUACUUUGUGCUGAGCCCCGUGAAUGACGGCACCUGCUGCUACACAGACAAGGCGGCGGCCACGGUCGGGUCUGAGAAGCAGGGCGGCGACACGAAGAGCGAUGGUAGCGCGAGCCACGAUGCCGACGCCGAACCGGGCAGGGAGGCAUUGGAGGCAAGGCGGGCCCAAGGGCUUCGCUCCAGUCGACAAGCGCAGUCGCGUUCUGACUCAACCUUACAUCUCAAGCUUAUCGCUCAUUGUCCUGUAGCACGUACGACAGGAGCAUAGACAUCAUCAUCUUUUAGUCCAAGGAAGGUGAGAAGGAGCUGCGGCUCGUCCUCCAGUGCGGCACCAUCGAGGAACGCAGUGCUUGGAUUACAGCGCUGGAGGCCCACCGCCACGCCGUGAACAAUCUGACCGACUACUCGUCCGCCGCUAAUGCGGCAGCCAAGGCAAAUGCGAAGGAAAAGAAGAUGUGCGAGGAGGUUUACUGGUAAUGCGGCGGUACGGAAGCGCUGGUUGACGGCGGUCGUUGGUUGCCACAGUGCGCGCUCCUAUCAGCCUCAAUCCACGUAUUGCUUGACACGUUCAGCGAGUGCGUGGCAGCUGCGGCACCUGCUACUCACACAUCGAUGCCUGUUAUGAGCACCAAUAGGUGAAGGGGGGAAAGGGGGCGGGGGCCGACAACGGACACUCGGGAAGAGGUGAAAGCGAACGCGGCGCCGGAGGCAGAGGACUCAGUGCUGCGUCGCCUCCUCUUCUUGCUUUCUCUGAUCGCUCUCCCUUCAUGCACUUCUUUGUGUGUGCCAAUGCAUGUAUGUGUGUGUCUCUCGCUGUAUUGGUCCGCCCUUGAGUUGCGCUUCGGUCCGCAAUGCCAUGGACUCUCUCGCCCGGGUGUACGCAUCUCUACGGUGUCGUCUGUUGUAUGGUUUCCACUGCUUCGUGCCUAGCUCGGCGCGUACGCUGACCGAGAGAGGGAGGAGAGGAAGCUUGCACAGGCGCGUGGAGCAGGCACGGGGGCGAUGUGUGGGUAGAAGGGCACCAAAAGGGAAGACAAGCUGCCGACGAGGCCCAUGCCCCCUCACACGCACACGCACCCCUCUUCGCUCUCCCUGCCGGUCCUUUGCCCCACCCCCGCCACUGCACGCACACGCACACGCACAUGCGCAACGGUGGGUUGCAGAGAACACGCGAAGCGAAAAGAACGGUGUCGCACCAGGUGGGGCUUGGAAGUGGAUGCGGAAGAGCCCGGGUGCAAGCUGAAUGCCAGCCGCGACGCCCUGAGGGGUGGCUGCUAUCUCGUUCCUUUGCUCUACCAGUCGUCUCCGCUCCUCGUGAUGACGUCGGGACACCGCUCAGCGCGUGGUGGUGCCACAGGGCCCAGCACACCCGCUCUCUGUGCGGGAAAGCCAAAGUAGCCGUUCCCCCCCCUCCCUGCUAUCCCUGCCAAUGCCGAGCCACUUCUGGUGGUGAAAGUUUCAAGCACCUACGACAUGUGGAAGUUAGAGCGAUGCGUGGCUGCUGGUGUCGGCGGCCAGGUCUUGGGCGGCGUGGCAUCGGAGCGAGCCGAGCCCGUGAACACGUCUGUGCCAUCCGCAUGAUGGGCGGAGAGUGUCCGCGUGGCUCGAACGUGUCUUGCCCCCGGCCCUCGCACCACCCACUGGUGUGGGGAGCCUGAGCGCCACACGGAGAGGUGCACGGGGCGGCGACCGGCACAAUGCGAGCGGCUGUGAGGCGACCUGCAGAGCAGGUGGUCGGUAGAGCUCGAGGCAGGGGCCGCGUUCUCAGAUGACUGGGGGGGGGAGGCGGUGCGUUGGCUGUAACGCGUGUGCCUACGGCUGCUGUGUACGACGCGAUGGGGCCUGCGACGGGCCGGGGCGCGUAGAGCGGAGUUUGACCUCAUGUUGUCUGGCAGGAGGAACACGCGAGAACGCGACAAGAUGCCCGUCGCAGUUUCCAGCAGCCUACGCCAUUUUCGCUUUGUGCCGGCUUCGUCCCCCUCGUCUCUCGACUCUCGCCGCCGUCCUUCUCCCAUUCCGUUGUGCAACGCUUGCUCCGAUGUUUGUUGCCCACUUGCCGGAUCGCCUUGCCUUCCUCUUUUUUUUGUGUUGUGUUGCUGUUUCGCCUGCCUCCCCUACUCUUCCCCUCUCGGCCUCGCCGCUAUCAGCGUUGUGUGUGUGUGUGUUGGAUGCACUGGCUCUGGAAAGACAAUGUGCGGCACCUGGGAGAGGCGGUGCCCACUCCCUUUCCUUGUCUUCUUCGGCCCACUCCUCACUCUCGCUCUGCUCUGUGGCUCUCCAACUGUUCCACGCACAGACAGACAUGAGUGCACGCAAGAGGCAGUGUUGGAUGUGGUAGUAGCCCGCUGAUGCGACACGCAGGC